GAUGAACGCUAGCGGCAGGCCUAAUACAUGCAAGUCGAACGGUAUCCCGUCUUCGGGCGGGAGAGAGUGGCGCACGGGUGCGUAACGCGUAUGCAACCUGCCCCGUACCGGGGGAUAGCCCGGGGAAACCCGGAUUAAUACCCCAUGGCACUCGGUUCCGGCAUCGGGACCGGGUUAAAGAUUCAUCGGUACGGGAUGGGCAUGCGUAGGAUUAGCUGGUUGGCGGUGUAACGGACCACCAAGGCGAUGAUCCUUAGGGGUUCUGAGAGGAAGGUCCCCCACACUGGCACUGAGACACGGGCCAGACUCCUACGGGAGGCAGCAGUAGGGAAUAUUGGGCAAUGGGCGGCAGCCUGACCCAGCCAUGCCGCGUGCAGGAAGAAGGCGUUCUGCGUUGUAAACUGCUUUUAUACGGGAAGAAAAGGCCCAUGCGUGGGACAUUGCCGGUACCGUAUGAAUAAGCACCGGCUAACUCC
rnacentral:rRNA from 1 species